UGCGCUUAGGAGGGCGCGCCAGAGUGGUCCUAUUGCGAACCUGCCAGGGUUGGGCUGGUGGCUUCCUUUCUCUGAGGCUGCAGAGGGAGGGUGGCCAGAGCCAGAUCCCAUCUCACUCUGAGCAGGAAGAAGGCUGGCGUCGGAGGCCUCCGCUGGAGGGGAAAGUGGAGCCCGGCCCAAGACGCGGGGACUGGCGGCGCCUUCCUGGUGGCUGAGGUCGGGAGCAACGGAGAGGCGGCGCCCAGCUUCGGUGGCCGGGUCUUGAUGGAGCUCCGGAGGCCCUUCUACGCCGCGUGGGCGACUGGGUGACUCAGCCGCCCUCGCGACGGAAUUGCUGGGCUGUCCCCACAAGUCAGCACGUGCAGCGAAAGUGACUGGGGAAUUUUACAAUGAGGUGGAAAGUACAGCAGAAAACUUCCCAUGACCUUAGGUUUACUUCAAGCAGUACUUCUCAAAAGUGCUUCCCUGGAGCCAGUGACAGCUUCUGGCUUAUCUCAGAUUCUUAAUUUCAAGUGAUCCUCCUACAUCAGCCUUAUGACUCCUGGAAGUAUCGGCCUGUGUCCCUGUGCCCAGCUCUGGUUGGAAUCUUAAAUUCCUCCCAAAGCCUUUUUUGAUGAAGUUUCUAUCUCCAGCUGACUGGCUCUUGGGAGGUGGUGGGAACUCUUUAGGAGGUGGGGACUAGUUGUAUGAAUUAAAUCCAUGGGAAGCAUGCCCUAGAAAUGAAUAUUGGGACCCUGUCUCCUUCCUGCUAUGAAGUAAGAAGUUUUCCUCUGUCAUGUGCUUCAGCCAUGAUAUACUGUACUGCUACAGGCCCAAAAUAACAGGCCAAGCAACCAUUGAUUGAGUAAUAAAUGUUUCCUUCUUCUAAUUUGAAUUUCUGAGACAUUUUGUCAUGGCAACAAAAACAUGACUAACAGAGAGGAAGAUACUGAUUGAAUUGAUCAAGACAAAAUUUCUGCCACCCUCUAAGAUAACUUCAUGAAAGGAAAGUCAGGGUGAAUUGUAGACAUUAAGACAUGUUUCUUGCACACCUGAAUUUUUAGAUGGGGAUUCUGUCCUAAUAUACCUGGUUUAUAUAUUUGGUCCACAAAGCUCAAUUGAAUUCAAUUAAUAAUUACUGAGUGUUAAUCUUGUGCCAGGCAGUGUCCCUGCCUUCAUGGUGCUUAUUGUCCAGUGGGGAUUGAAGUUCUAAAAAAUAACUGCAAGCCAAAGAAAUAUUUCCAAAAGGGAAGUGCAUUAGAGCAUAUAGCAAAAUUAUCCCAACUCUAUAGUAGUGCAGUAAAUGCUUCCUUGAGGAAAUAAGGUUAAAACUGAAACGCAAAAAAAUAACAUGAAGAAUCCCUGAAGAGAAAUGUGAGAGGGGGAAGAAUAAACAAAGGGAAAUAAGA